CCCCCCGCCCCGCCCGGGGCGCGCCCCGGGCGGGGCGGGGGCACGGGGGGAACGCGAAGAACCUUACCUGGUCUUGACAUCCACAGAAGUUUCCAGAGAUGGAUUGGUGCCUUCGGGAACUGUGAGACAGGUGCUGCAUGGCUGUCGUCAGCUCGUGUUGUGAAAUGUUGGGUUAAGUCCCGCAACGAGCGCAACCCUUAUCCUUUGUUGCCAGCGGUCCGGCCGGGAACUCAAAGGAGACUGCCAGUGAUAAACUGGAGGAAGGUGGGGAUGACGUCAAGUCAUCAUGGCCCUUACGACCAGGGCUACACACGUGCUACAAUGGCGCAUACAAAGAGAAGCGACCUCGCGAGAGCAAGCGGACCUCAUAAAGUGCGUCGUAGUCCGGAUUGGAGUCUGCAACUCGACUCCAUGAAGUCGGAAUCGCUAGUAAUCG
rnacentral:rRNA from 1 species